AUAAACGAGAAGACGGAAAAUCAAUCCGUUUUCCCUACGCGGUCAAAGUCUUGGGAGGAUGCGAUCCAGGCGCGGUUACUCGCUGCCGCCGGACACCGGAAACGGAUCGGACGCGUUACAAAUUGCAAGGCUUCGGCCUUGCAUUUUUUU
rnacentral:sRNA from 1 species